rnacentral:lncRNA from 1 species
CUCCUCGUCUUCGGCGUCAUCAUCAUCGCCGUCGUCAUCAUCAUCGUCGUCGUCGUCCCCUGCAAUGUCCGAGUCCCAUUCCUCCUCGUCCUGGCUCUCGCCCCCACUCGCCUCACCCUCCUCAGUCGGAGUUUGUGCCCCAUUGGGCAUCGAGUACAGCUCGGUGAGGGCCUAGCAGAUAUCAAGACAAUGAUCAGUCGACCAGUCGGCAGAGUAAACAGAAAUGAAUACGACAAGGGCGCAGUGGAGAGCAGAGCAAGUGUACCUUGUUUGGGUCGCUGUUGUGGUCGAGUGGAGGAAUCCUUCUGGCUCCGCGCGGGUUGUCCUUGUUUCCGGUAACGGCUACCAUCCAUCUUUCCAGAGUGACGUCGUCGACUGCUUCUGGAUGGACUCUAGUCUCGUCUUCGGUCCCACAGUACAACCACAUGCAGUGGCUCCGGAAUUGAAGGGGUUGGAUGCGACGCCUGAGGAAGACCUCCAGAAGAUCCAUGCCCGUCACCCCCUCCCGAACCAACUGCACCACGCGCUCCAUCAACAUCUUCACGUCGGCUUUCUCCUCCGGAAUCAGCUUCAGAGGGGACGGCUUGUUCACUCGGUCCAUGGUAAACGAAGGGAGUCCACUCGACUGCCCUGGCGUCGACUGGACCUGGCAGUAGAACCAAGUCGACUGCCAGCCUCUGACGGACUCGGGAAAGGUCAUGGGCGGGAAGGUGCUCUUAUUCCUCACCUGGAUCCCCAGGCCCCCACACAUUUGGACGACUCGGGUUCUCUCAUCACCUGGGCUCGCCUUCUUCACGGUCUGAGAGCGACACGUGAAUAUAUGUUUGAACAAACCCCAGUGCGGUCGACAGCCCAAGAAACCCUCACACAUGGACACGAAUGCAGCAAGAUAGGCAAUGGAGUUUGGGGUAAAGUGGUGAAGCUGCGCUCCAAAGAAAUUCAAGAAGCCACGGAAGAAAAUACUUGGCGGCAAGGAAAACCCACGAUCAACAUGAGUGGCCAAAAGCACACACUCACCCUCUUCUGGCUGUGGCUGCCACUCCUUCCCCGGCAACCUCGCAGCUCCGUGAGGGAUCAAGCCCUCGUUGGCCAUGUCAAGGAGGUCCUUCUCUGUGAUGGUCGACUGGAUCCAGUCUCCUUGGACCCAGCCCUUCGGCAGGCGGGAUCUGGACGAGGACCCUCCGCGGCUGGUGGAUCUCCCCUUCGCCUUCUCCGACGCCGACGCCUUCUUGGCGCGCUCCAGCGCCGCCGUCUUCUCCUUGGCCAUGGUCGCCGGAGAGAUGCGCGAAGGGAAGUGGUGCGGGGGCAAGAGCGAGCACGCUGAGCUGGGAAGAAGGAAGCAGAGAGAGAGGGAGAAUGCUGGGGCGCAGCACAGAAAUCCUCGCCGGGCGCAUUUAUAAGGUCCCUUCCGAGUGGCUGACAUGUGGGCCCGGUCGAUCUAAUCAUAUCUAAGAGCAGUUAUGCAGGCUGGAUACGUGGCGAAAAAGGCGGCGCGGAGAUCGAGGCGUCUAUGCCCCGUCCCAUCUGAACGCCGCGGUCCGCCCCGCUUCGCGCGCGCCCCAAAAUUUCGCAUCCCGCGGAAUCUGCGAGCAACAAAUCAGUCUGUCAGACGCGGUGUUUCCGGCGAUCCGUCGCUCGGAGAUCGUCGAAGCCCGAAAGAUCACUCGACGCAAAAACAGAAUGGAUCGAGUCGACUGAAGGCAAAUUGCUCCCUGUCAACGAAGAGAUUCUUUGGUCCAGAACAGCGCACAACUAGAGCGCAAAGGUCAAUCGGAAACGACAUCAACUCCUUCUUCACUCGAAGCCUCAAUCCAUUCGGGGGCUAAUGAUGGGGUUGUGUACCUAGGGUAGGAUCAUGGACCUGAUCCAAGUAACUUACCCUAGGACAUCCUUAGAAGAGGUCACCUUCCAGUCGACCAACGAGGAUUCACUCGACUGGCCUGAAGGACUCGACCACGAAGACUCACUCGACCACCAGGAGGUCAAGAGGCACUCUGCACUGCAACGGCCUGUAAUCAAGUAGACUUUAUGAUAGUAAAGGCACUUUAUGUGGGGCGUUACCAGUAACGCCCCAGACUUAACUCACCUUAAACCCUCUCCUGCGUGGGCUGGCUAGGGUCCUGGCGCACUCUAUAUAAGCCACCCUCCUCCACAGGCAGAGGGGUUCGGCACCUUGUAAUUCAUACAUUCAUAAUCCACUCAACCGCCUCCGGGCUCCGAGACGUAGGGCUGUUACUUCUUCCGAGAAGGGCCUGAACUCGUACAUCCUUUGUGCUUACAACCUCUCCAUAGCUAGGACCUUGCCUCUCCAUACCUACCCCCCACUCUACUGUCAGGCUUAGAACCACGACAGUUACCGCUUUGCUCAGCCCCUCUUAUAGCAUUGUUAGUUGCAGGUGAAGUUGAAGAUUGCUCCAUGGUGGACAGGAUUAUGUUGGGAUAUCACAAUAUCUCUUAUUUAAUUAAUGCAUCUAUAUACUUGGUAAAGGGUGGAAGACUCGGCCUUAUGCCUGGUGUUUUGUUCCACUCUUGCCGCCCUAGUUUCUGUCAUACCGGUGUUAUGUUCCCGGAUUUUGCGUUCCUUACGCGGUUGGGUGAUUUAUGGGACCCCCUUGACAGUUCGCUUUGAAUAAAACUCCUCCAGCAAGGCCCAACCUUGGUUUUACCAUUUGCCUCACCACCACCUACUUUUCCCUUGGGAGUCGCUCUCUCGAGGGUCAUCUUAAUUUUAGCCCCCCGGGCCAGUGCUUGUCUAAGUGUUGGUCCGAACCGAGCAGCCUGCGGGGCCACCUCGGGGAAACUUGAGGAUUGGUUUUACUCGUAGCUUGACUUAUCCGGUGUUGCCCUGAGAACGAGAUAUGUGCAACUCCUAUCGGGAUUAUCGGUGCAUCGGGCGGCUUUGCUGGUCUUGUUUUACCAUUGUCGAAAUGUCUUGUAAACCGGGAUUCCGAGACUGAUCGGGUCUUCCUGGGAGAAGGUAUAUCCUUCAUUGAUCGCGAGAGCUUAUCAUGGGCUAAGUUGGGACACCCCUGCAGGGUAUAAACUUUCGAAAGCCGUGCCCGCGGUUAUGUGGCAGAUGGGAAUUUGUUAAUGUCCGGUUGUAGAUAACUUGACACCAGAUCCGAAUUAAAACGCAUCAACCGCGUGUUUAGCCGUGAUGGUCUCUUUUCGGCGGAGUCCCGGAAGUGAACACGGUUUCGGGGUUAUGUUUGACGUAAGUAGGAGUUCAGGAUCACUUCUUGGUCAUUGCUAGCUUCACGACCGUUCCAUUUGCUCUCUUCUCGCUCUUAUUUGCGUAUGUUAGCCACCAUAUAUGCUUAGUCGCUGCUGCAACCUCACCACUUUACCCCUUCCUUACCCUUUAAGCUUUGCUAGUCUUGAUACCCAUGGUAAUGGGAUUGCUGAGUCCUCGUGGCUCACAGAUUACUAAAACAACAGUUGCAGGUACAUGUUAUGCGAUGAUCAUGAUGCGAGAGCUAUGUUUGCUUGUUUUGGAGUUCUCCUUCUGCUUCUUAUUUGAUCAGGGGAUAGGUUCCAGGUCGGCAGCCUGGGCUAGUAGGGUGGAUGUCGUUUGAGCUUCUGUUUGUGUUUCAUCCGUAGUUGGAUGUUGUUCUCUUAUGUAUGAUGAUGAUGUAUUGUUGUAUUCGUGUGGCAUUGUAUGCCUUAUGUAUGUAUCCCCAUCUAUUAUGUAAUGUUGAUGUCAUGAUAUCCACCUUGCAAAAGCGUUUCAAUAUGCGGGUCUAUCCUUGGUGGGACCUUCGUAGUUCCUUUUGGAUAGGGUCGCAUAUUGGGCGUGACAACUAGGUAGCACAGUUAAAAGUUGGCACGAUAAAAUAUAGCCGAUCAGUCUAGAAAUGAUGUGAUGGGGUAUUAAACUUGCAAGUAACAAGUACUAGGGGUAAUACCAGAAGGUAAAUCAGAGUAGAGGUUGGACGGGGGAAAUGAUUUGCAGAGCACAAGUAAAUAUGAUCGGAAUCACGAUUGCAAAGGAUCAAUUCAUAGAUACAAGAUGAACUUGUACCAAGGAAAUAACUAUUUUACGAGCAUCUUCCAUGAUAAGUUCUACAUCGGGUCCAUGGGCAUGAACACAAAGGUUCAAGGUCGACUCCCAUUUCUUCAAUGCAUAGCCUUUCAUUUACUCCUCGUUUUCGAAGAAAUUGUAGUGCGGAAGAUUUAUCUGGCGAAGUACCAGAAGAGUAUGACUCGCAUAACUUUCGAGUGCAGACGGAUUAAGGAGGGCAUAGAUUCAACACAUAGGGGCAUCUUGGGAACAUAUACCACGUAUUUCAAUAAUAAAUGACGCAAGUUCAUAGGUAGAGCAUGGUUGACAAAAGCAGAGGGUACAAUUUACCAAAGGCAUUAUGUAUCUGAGGAAUUACUCGCAAGGUUGUUGAAUUUGAAGGAAAUUGUUGGGUAAUAAUUCAUCAAAGGAUCUAGCGGACCACAAGGGGUCUGAUGUGAGUAACGGACCAUUAGGCUAACUAACACCUAACUGGCAUUUCCUAUUUGGCGCUACAGGCGCCCGUUAAUGUGUAUUUCGCAAAUGGGCGCCUGCAGCGCCUCGCACUGGGCCGGCCCAACUAGUUUUCAGUUCUCUGUGUUAAAGUGACAAAAAAUCAUGACUUAUGUGUGCUGUAGGAUUCGAACCCGCGAAGCUGUGGUUCCACCGAACAUGCAACAACCACCCGACCCGCUUCACCUUUGUGAAAUUAUUGAUAUUCUUUCUUUUUUGUUCUUCCGUCUUCCUUUUCUUUUCCUUUUUUUGAUUCUUUUCCUGUCAUUUUUGUUUUUCUUUUUCCUUUUUAUUUUUAAUAAUGUGAGAAAUAUUCAGAAGAUUUAUAUGAACGUUUUUUCAGUUCGAUGAACUUUUUUCAAAAUCAUUGAAAUUAUUUUCAAAUUCGAUGAACUCUUUUCUAAUUCGAUGAACUUUUAUCGAAUUCAAUGAACUUUUUUCAAAAUCUGAUGAACUUUUUAUCUAAAUCAAUGAACUUUUUUCAAAAUUCAUGAACUUUUAUAAAAAUCCAUGAACUUUUUUCAAUUUUCUUGAACUAUAUUGAAUUUCGUGAACUUUUUCGAUCCUUGAACUUUUUUCAAACUCGUGAACUUUUAUGAAAAUCGAUGAACUUUUUUCAAUUUUCUUGAACUAUAUUGAAUUUCGUGAACUUUUUCCAGUCCGUGAACUUUUCUCAAACUCGUGAACUUUUUUCAAUUCGUUAACUUUUCUGAAAUUAGUGGACCUUUUCAAAUUUAUGAACUUUUUCUUGAACUUGUGAACUUUUUUCAAUUUUCGUGAGCUUUUUUUUAAUAUCUGAACCAUUACUUUUUGAAACAAUUUUGUGAACUUUUUUAAAAUCUGGGAACUUCUAAAUUUUGGACCAGCACGGCUGCAAUUGUACUUAAAUAACACGCACUACAAGUAGUAAGUAUUGUGACGUGGCUGCAGUGGUUAGCGAAGCAGCGGCGCGCGAGUUCGAAUCCUCAACACGAACCUAUUUUUCCUACGAUUUUUUGCUGCUGCUGCUUGUUCGUGGGCCGGCCCAGCGCGGGGCGCUGCAGGCGCCAACAGCGUGAACGGGCGCCUGCAGCGCCGUAUAGGAGCUCCCCACCUAACUGACCUAAUUAGUACUAGUUAAUUAGAACGGGGCCAGCCUUAGUGGACAGAGCCCAGCCGGCCUCACGGUGGCUGUGCACACACGCACAAGCACACGGCGGCUAUGGCCAGCCACGGCCAGUAGCUCACACGAGAGAGGCCGGGGGCUCAGGGCGGCGAAGGGCAGCGGCGCAGAAGGGCACGGCGAGGCCGCGGCCGGCACAGGCGCGGUAGGGCGCGGGGCAAGCGGCAGCAACGUAGCGCAGCAGCAGCAGUGGCCGCAGUACCCAGCAGUAGCAGCACGCAAGCAGUAGCGUAGGUGUGGUAAGCAGAAUAGCCCGGCGGCAAGCAGCAGAGCAAAACAGCGGCAACAGCUUGCAGCUAAAACAGAGCAGCGGCAGUACGCACACAUGUACGCAAACACGGAAGCUCGCUCAUGACGGUGUCGGCGGCCUAUGGCGUACAAAUCAAAGGGAAAAAAAGGGGAUCAGAGGGAGGAGCUCACCACGGGGUAGAUGAUGUGCUCGGAGAGGUCGGGGACGGACCGGAGCGGUGGCAAUUGACCACGGACGACGAGGAUGUACGCGGUGGAAAUGAGGUCGAUAGUGAGCGUAUAGGGUGGCUCCGCUCGAAUUGAUGCUCUGGACGGACGUAGUCGACGGUGACGAUCCUCCUGGACUAAUCGAUGCAGCGAACGUUGGUUGGUGGCCGCGGGAUCGACGGCGGCACGUCGGCGACCGCGCUCAGGCAAACAAGACAGAGGGGGAGAGGGCGAAGCGGCGCGAGGGGAGGGCAAGUGGGGGCUAGGGUUCGCCUGGGGGGUCGUGGGGUCGGACUUUAUGCUCCAGGGGAGCAGGCAGAUGGCCGGCACGCGGCCAGGGAAUGGCCAU